UACGAAGGGGGCUAGCGUUGCUCGGAAUCACUGGGCGUAAAGGGUGCGUAGGCGGGUCUUUAAGUCAGGGGUGAAAUCCUGGAGCUCAACUCCAGAACUGCCUUUGAUACUGAGGAUCUUGAGUUCGGGAGAGUGAGUGGAACUGCGAGUGUAGAGGUGAAAUUCGUAGAUAUUGCAAGAACACCAGUGGCGAAGGCGGCUCACUGGCCCGAUACUGACGCUGAGGCACGAAAGCGUGGGG
rnacentral:rRNA from 1 species